CAGACCUGAGAGAAAAGAAGAGGGAAUUGGCAGAAAUAGAAGGCGGCAGGGACGCUCUCUCACUUGUUCCCUGCAGUCAUGCCUGCCAUUCCGCAACUCAAGCAGGAGAAAAACCCAGGAGUGGGGUGGCGUAGGCGGGGCCACCACAAGGAGCCCGUGCAUCAGGGGGCGCAGGCUGUUUCUGGAUCAUUCCACUGGGAAGGGGACAAAACCCAUCUUUUAUGACCCAUGUUCAGUUCUCAGUUGGAGUCAGAUGAGGAAGAGAAUGCCCAGCAAGGUAAAAUGGCAGAGCUAAGAUGCAAACAAACUCAGGUCUUUGGCCUUGAUAGAUUUCAAUAUCCUGUGCAGCUGAUGUCUGACCCACGCAUCAAGAAUACAGCCUUCACACACCUGCCGUGAGAAGCCCUCUAUGACCUUCUGCAGAGGGAGGGAACUGCCUAAGAGCUGCUGAGUGCAGGAAUGCAGGGUGCUAAGAAGCAGGUACCCAGUUUGGGGUUAAAAUAUGUAUAAUAUAUCCAUUUGAAUACCCAUCAAUAAAUAUCAGUCAUGCUCACUUUUGGGUGCUGGGGGUUAUUGGAGAUAUUGAUUCAUUUGUUUUAUGAGUGG
rnacentral:lncRNA from 10 species